AGAUUGAGAUGCAACUGGGAACUGGCCUCUUUCAAUACAGUGCACCCCACAUCCUCACUCGUUGCUCUUACUGGCCUACCUCAGGUAUAAUGGCCUUACAGGUCUGAGUCAUCAUCUGUAACAGAGAAGGCUGAGAAGAUGGUGUCAGUAGAUUCUGGGGACAUUUUAAUCUAUUAAGCUGCUUUUGAGACGUACUACAGUUUCCUGAGGAGGUGGCCAAAAGACUGGGGUAUGGCCGUCAAUGUGUACUCCACAUCUGUGACCAGUGAAAAUCUGAGUCGCCAUGAUAUGCUUGCAUGGGUCAACGACUCCCUGCACCUCAACUAUACCAAGAUAGAACAGCUUUGUUCAGGACCACCAUCAUAUAUGUGGUUCAUCGUUGACCAAACCAUCGUUAUGCAGCCCAUAGCUGUAGCUUGUGAUUAGAUUAAGGAGGAGAGCUGGAGGCCCUGAACUAGUCAGACUGUCUGGAGCUGAAGUCAAGAA
rnacentral:sRNA from 1 species